rnacentral:rRNA from 1 species
UACGUAGGGGGCAAGCGUUGUCCGGAUUCAUUGGGCGUAAAGAGCGUGUAGGCGGCCCGAUAAGUCCGCCGUGAAAGUCCAGGGCUCAACCCUGGAAUGCCGGUGGAAACUGUCGGGCUGGAGUCCGGAAGAGGCGAGUGGAAUUCCUGGUGUAGCGGUGAAAUGCGCAGAUAUCAGGAGGAACACCGGUGGCGAAGGCGGGUCUCUGGGCCGAUACUGACGCUGGAGGAGCGAAAGCGUGGGGAGCGAACAGG